rnacentral:rRNA from 1 species
GACGAACGCUGGCGGCGUGCUUAACACAUGCAAGUCGAACGGAAAGGCCCCUUUGGGGGUACUCGAGUGGCGACCGGGUGCGUAACACGUGAGUAACCUGCCCUUGACUUCGGGAUAACUUCAGGAAACUGGGGCUAAUACCGGAUAGGAAUCCUUUCUGCAUGGUGGGGGUUGGAAAGCUUCGGCGGGUUUGGCUGGACUCGCGACUUAUCUGCUUGUUGGUGGGGUAGUGGCUUACCAAGGCUUUGACGGGUAGCCGGCCUGUGAGGGCGACCGGCCACAUUGGGACUGAGAUGCGGCCCAGACUCCUACGGGACGCAGCAGGGCGGAAUAUUGCACAAUGGGCGGAAGCCGGAUGCAGCAACGCCGCGUGCGGGAUGACUGCCUUCGGGUUGUAAACCGCUUUCAGCAGGGGCGAAGCUUGUGGUGACGGUACCUGCAGAAGAAGCACCGGCUAACUACGUG